rnacentral:rRNA from 1 species
ACGGAGGAUGCGAGCGUUAUCCGGAUUUAUUGGGUUUAAAGGGUGCGUAGGCGGAUUAAUAAGUCAGUGGUGAAAACCUUCAGCUUAACUGGAGACUUACCAUUGAUACUGUUAGCCUUGAGUACGGUCAAGGUAGACGGAAUAUGUAAUGUAACGGUGAAAUGCUUAGAUAUUACGCAGAUCCACGAUUACGCAUGCAACUUACUUGGCCGCCACUGCCUCUAAUGCAAGAAAGCGGGAGGAGCGAAAAG